UACGGAGGAUGCAAGCGUUAUCCGGAAUGAUUGGGCGUAAAGCGUCCGCAGGUGGCUAUGUAAGUCUGCUGUUAAAGAGUGAGGCUCAACCUCAUAAGAGCAGUGGAAACUACAUGGCUAGAGUGCGUUCGGGGCAGAGGGAAUUCCUGGUGUAGCGGUGAAAUGCGUAGAGAUCAGGAAGAACACCGGUGGCGAAAGCGCUCUGCUAGGCCGCAACUGACACUGAGGGACGAAAGCCAGGGGAGCGAACGGG
rnacentral:rRNA from 1 species